rnacentral:rRNA from 1 species
GUAGGUGGCAAGCGUUGUCCGGAAUUAUUGGGCGUAAAGCGCGCGCAGGCGGGUCCUUUAAGUCUGAUGUGAAAGCCCACGGGCUCAACCGUGGAGGGUCAUUGGAAACUGGGGGACUUGAGUACAGAAGAGGAAAGCGGAAUUCCAAGUGUAGCGGUGAAAUGCGUAGAGAUUUGGAGGAACACCAGUGGCGAAGGCGGCUUUCUGGUCUGUAACUGACGCUGAGGCACGAAAGCGUGGGGAGCAAACAGGAUUAGAUACCCUGGUAGUCCACGCCGUAAACGAUGAGUGCUAAGUGUUAGGGGGUUUCCGCCCCUUAGUGCUGCAGCUAACGCAUUAAGCACUCCGCCUGGGGAGUACGGCCGCAAAGGCUG